rnacentral:rRNA from 1 species
GGCAUCAAAGUAGUAGGACUACCCGCUGAACUUAAGCAUAUCAAUAAGCGGAGGAAGAGAAACUAACAAGGAUUCCCCUAGUAACUGCGAGUGAAGCGGGAAAAGCUCAAAUUUAAAAGCCUUCGGGCGUUGUAAUCUAAAGAAGUGUUUUCGGUCGUUGCCUCGGAUAAGUCUCUUGGAACAGAGUGUCAAAGAGGGUGAGAAUCCCGUUCUUGCCGAGCUACCAACGUCUAUGUGAUACACUUUCAAAGAGUCGAGUUGUUUGGGAAUGCAGCUCAAAAUGGGUGGUAAACUCCAUCUAAAGCUAAAUAUUGGCGAGAGACCGAUAGCGAACAAGUACCGUGAGGGAAAGAUGAAAAGCACUUUGGAAAGAGAGUUAAACAGUACGUGAAAUUGUUAAAAGGGAAACGC